rnacentral:rRNA from 1 species
GACGAACGCUGGCGGCGUGCCUAAUACAUGCAAGUCGAGCGGACGAAUCGAAAGCUUGCUUUUGAUUCGUUAGCGGCGGACGGGUGAGUAACACGUGGGCAACCUGCCCUGUAGACGGGGAUAACACCGAGAAAUCGGUGCUAAUACCGGAUAACACGAAAUGUCGCAUGACGUUUCGUUGAAAGACGGCGCAAGCUGUCGCUACAGGAUGGGCCCGCGGCGCAUUAGCUAGUUGGUGAGGUAACGGCUCACCAAGGCGACGAUGCGUAGCCGACCUGAGAGGGUGAGCGCCCCCCUUGGACCUGAACCCCGGCCCAAACCCCUACGGGGGGCAGCAGUGGGAAAUCUUCCGCAAGGGACGAAAGUCGGACGGGGCAACGCCGGGGGGGCAAAGAAGGCCUUCGGGUCGUAAAGCCCUGUUUUUAGGAAAAAAAAAGUAACGCAGUAACUGGCUUUACCGUGCCGGUACCUAACGAGAAAGCCACGGCUAACUCCGU